CCCUUAGAUGUUCUGGGCCGCACGCGCGCUACACUGAUGCAUUCAACGAGUUUCUUCCUGGUCCGAGAGGAAUGGGUAACCUUUUGAAAGCGCAUCGUGAUAGGGAUAGACUAUUGCAAUUAUUGGUCUUCAACGAGGAAUUCCUAGUAGACGUAGUUCAUCAGACUGCAUCGAUUACGUCCCUGCCCUUUGUACACACCGCCCGUCGCUCCUACCGAUUGAAUGCUCAGGUGAGCCAUUCGGACUUUCAUCAUGCUGGUUUCCAGUUUUGAUGAAGGAAAGUCUUGCGAACCUUAUCAUUUAGAGGAAGGAGAAGUCGUAACA
rnacentral:rRNA from 1 species